CAAAAACAUGUUUACAAAACAAAAGUUUUUGUGUGUUGUGCAUUAUUCCCAACGCACAGUAACUUUUCUUUUGUAAACAUGUUUU
rnacentral:pre_miRNA from 1 species